UGAUGAUUAUGAUGGUGAUGGUGGUGAUGAUGAUGAUUAUGAUGGUGGUGAUGGUGGUGAUAAUGAUCAGUUACUGCUGAUGCAACUGGAGUCAACCAGGGGAACCCGGAGCUUAACAUCUCGACGAAAUUUUAUGUGGGAACUGAGGUAGCGUUCAUCGUCAUCAUCAUCAUCGUCAUCAUCAUCAUCGUCA
rnacentral:pre_miRNA from 1 species